rnacentral:misc_RNA from 1 species
GCAAUGCAGCAGCUACAGCCCGCCGCCCUCGAACGAGGGAAGUUAGUUCUAGGUGCAAAUCGCCAACUCCUUCUGUUUCUAGGCGUUGUGUAUCACCAAGCNNNNACCCUAUCGAGAACACUGCCUACAACUUCCCAAGUGGUGUCCAAAAGAGCCAAAUCAGCCGAGAGGAGGCGCCCUUCAACUCCACCAUCAACCUCAAGCCCCUC